GGCGGAGUAGCUCAGGUGGUUAGAGCAGCGGAAUCAUAAUCCGCGUGUCGGGGGUUCGAGUCCCUCCUCCGCUA
rfam:Altererythrobacter namhicola strain JCM 16345, complete genome.